AAUGGAUUCCUUAGUACGGCGAGUGAACCGGGAUGAGCUCAAAUUUAAAAUCUGGCGUCUUUCAGGCGUCCGAGUUGUAAUCUAUAGAGGCGUUUUCCGCGCCGGACCGCGUCCAAGUCCCUUGGAAUAGGGUAUCAAAGAGGGUGACAAUCCCGUACUUGACGCGACGACCGGUGCUCUGUGAUACGUUCUCAACGAGUCGAGUUGUUUGGGAAUGCAGCUCUAAACGGGUGGUAAAUUCCAUCUAAGGCUAAAUAUUGGCGAGAGACCGAUAGCGAACAAGUACCGUGAGGGAAAGAUGAAAAGCACUUUGGAAAGAGAGUUAAACAGCACGUGAAAUUGUUAAAAGGGAAACGAUUGAAGUCAGUCGUGUGGGAGGUAUUCAGCCGUCUCUGGCGGUGUAUUUGCCUCUCACGGGUCAACAUCAGUUUGAUCCGGUAGAAAAAGGCGGGAGGAAGGUGGCACCCUCGGGUGUGUUAUAGCCUCCUGUCACAUGUGCCGGACCAGACUGAGGAACGCAGCUCGCAGCAAUGCCGGGGUUCGCCCACGUACGAGCUUAGGAUGUUGACAUAAUGGCUUUAAACGAC
rnacentral:rRNA from 1 species